rnacentral:rRNA from 1 species
CCUACGGGUGGCUGCAGUGAGGAAUAUUGGUCAAUGGGCGUAAGCCUGAACCAGCCAAGUCGCGUGAGGGAUGAAGGUUCUAUGGAUCGUAAACCUCUUUUAUCAGGGAAUAACGCGUGGGACGUGUCCUAUUUUUUAUGUACCUUAUGAAUAAGGAUCGGCUAACUCCGUGCCAGCAGCCGCGGUAAUACGGAGGAUCCGAGCGUUAUCCGGAUUUAUUUGGGUUAAAGGGUGCGUAGGCGGCCUUUUAAGUCAGCGGUGAAAGUCUGUGGCUCAACCAUAGAAUUGCCGUUGAAACUGGGGGGCUUGAGUAUGUUAGAGGCAGGCGGAAUGCGUGGUGUAGCGGUGAAAUGCUUAGAUAUCACGCAGAACCCCGAUUGCGAAGGCAGCAUGCCAAGCCAUGACUGACGCUGAAGCACGAAAGCGUGGGGAUCGAACAGGAUUAGAUACCCGUGUAGUC